rnacentral:lncRNA from 1 species
ACUGUGGUCCCUAGGACGUAACCGGCCAGUUUGUUACGGAAACUGACAAGCUGACCGUAAGUUCACCUGGACACGGGAGGAAGCCGACGGGCAGAGCAGAAAUGGAGAGGGAGAACGAGGCGGAGGAGCCACUCCUGACGGCAGGACCCCCCGGAAGCUGUGGUGGGGAACCCUGGCUCAGGGACAGACAGGCAGCCCCAGGGGUGGAGCUGGGCUGCAGAAACCAGCGCUGCGCGGCCGACUGGCUUUCCACAGGCACCAGGGCAGGACUGGGACGCACUGAGGGGCUCCUGGAUCCCAGGCUGCUCCCAGAUACUGAGGCAGAGCCCAGCUUCCUGGGCAGGCAGGUGG